AUUGACAUGAUUUUCAAAGUUCUGAUCUUUUUCUUGCUUUGGGUUUUACUUGCAGCACCUGUGUACCCAAUCGGACCAAUUUUGGAGCAGAGUGCCCUCUGUGUAAUAUCCAAGUUCCCGGUCAAGUUUCAAGUAAGCUGCGUUUGAAAUUCUGAGGGUCAAGGGCUGUAUAAGUAUCAGACAACCUUUCCAGCUGCGUUUAGUAAAGGUCUCUGAAAUUUGUUUACUUGGCUCUUCGCGCAGCUGCUGUGGCAUUUCUAUAUAAGUACAUUGGAUUCCCUGCUCCCUGCAUUACAUGAUGUUUUGAUAGAAUGCCUUGGUAGAAUGUUUUGUAAACUCAAAUAAUUUUAGGGAUAGGAAACUUUGUCUCUUAAAUUGUUAGCAACAACAAAUCCAACGGCA